AACAAGAGAAUCAUAACUAUGAAGUACCAACUCGCCACAGAAACGUGUACAACAACGUAGAAAUGGACACAACUACACAGUACGUGAAUGUCAAUGUUAAACAAGACAUUAUUAUUUCAAAGGAUGACUCUUCUAUUUACUGCAAUACACCCAGUGAAAAUAUUCACAGUCCUGUGUAAAAAGUGUUCACAACAAAAGGAAUGAAUUAAAUGAGCCCCGUCUGCAAGAAAAGAAAUUGACUUUUAUCGAUAGAAAGCUAAUCAUUGUUUCUUUUACUGAGACAUUAAAUAUCUUUUUUAUACUGUUUUAAGAAUAAAAUAGAAGAAUCUCCCAGAACAUGUUUGUUGAUUAACUGCCAAAAUAUUUCGAUGUCUACUCUACUAACAAUGCUCAAUAAAGUAAUAUCGACUGGC
rnacentral:sRNA from 1 species